rnacentral:lncRNA from 1 species
CCUUUAUUAAUGAAAAGAAUGUAUUACAGAAAUAGUUCAUUUCCAGAGGAAGAAAUAAUAUAAAAUGCAAAAGAAUAUAUCUAGAAGUAAGGAAAAGUAAAGGAAAAUAUCAUUAUAAUUAGCAUUGAGUCCUUUAGAAAACAGGAAGUAGGCAUCUGAAGGUAUUGAGUGAGAAAAAGGUAAAGUUAAUAUUACAUCAGGAGGCAACUAAUCACAGAUGCCACUGCUUGGACACACCAAGGAGGCAAAAAAUGGCAAAGUCAGAUUUUGAACAGAGUGUGCCCAGACUAUGAGCUAUCACAACAAGACAGGGAAGGCGAAAAAGGGCCAGCCACCAACUCGGGGGAAAAAGGGCCAGCCACCAGCUCAGACAAAAAGUAGGCAACACAGACCCCUCCCUUCCUAAUAUCCCCCAGGCGUGGACUUCAGCUGGUAUCAGGUUUGCUUUUCCUAUGGAAGCAAGGAGCCUAUCCGGGGAAGAGAUUCGUCCUGAUUUCUUCUUAGUUCACACACACUUAAACUCCCGAAAGGGCUUGACUCAGAUUUACCCGCAGGUCUGGGCUAGUGUGACAACAAGGGCCUUCGUGUCUUUAAAAUAACUCAUCUACUUCAUGAUGUCCUUGGUGAAACAGUGGAUUGGUACACACAUCCAUUGCAAUCUCUUUCUAGCUGGACUUUCUGUUUCUGUAGGGCUGGGAAGUUUAAAGCUACAAACCCUGGACAUUCUUGCAAUUAAGAUUCCUCAUGUGAUAGAGUUUCCACCAGCAGAAUUAAAAUUGUAGAUGUGGAGGGAGGGUAUGAGUGAGGCAGGGGCCAUCUGUUUUACUAAUUAAUAUCAUAGCAAGCUUGGCGGGUCCCGGAGUGGCAGCUUUUUGGAUGUGGCAGUUUCCAGAGCAUGGCAGCUUCUGAUGAUGGCAGGGGAUGCAUUGUUUUGAAUCCAGCAGCUAUAGCAACAACUUCCCAAUUCAGCAAAUGGUUUCCUAUUGCAGGAUCAGUAGAUCCCUUGAUGGCCCAGUUCUGCAGUAAAAGUCCAUCCUAAAACUUCAGCCUCAAAGUGGAUCUCUAUCUGAUCUCAACAUUUGAAUUUCCAGGGGAGUUUAUGCCCAAAGGUUUUGAUUCAUUAUGUCAGCAAUGGAUUCCCGAAUUGAUAUUCUAAAAAAGCAACCCAGAUGCUUGUGAUACGAAGCUCAGAUUGAGAGUGAGUGACCAAGAGCCUCUUUCAUUAGCCCUGCCAACAACUUCAUAAGCCAUUUAAUGCCCAGUGUUAAACAAUUUCUGUUUAAACUGUCUGGAAUGGAUUAUUUUUUCAGUAACUAAACCUUGACCAGUGCAAUGUCUGGGGCAAAAUCUUCACAACAGGAAUAGAACAAAGGUUAGGCAGAAUGAAAGUUCAAAUAUGCCAUCCCUUUCUGUCAAUAGAGGAGCAUUAAAAUUUUCAACACUUACAAAGAGAAGAAAUAAAGAUUGUAACAAAAAAAAACAAGCUAAGAAUAGUAACAAAACCAAGCUUAGAGCUGUUGAAAAAUAAAUUGCUGUUGAAAGAUUAUAGAAUAAAUAAAGGCUUAGGUAGCCUGUAUUAUGCAAAUUAGUCACAUCAUGCUUAUUUAUUUUUACUAUCUACUUGGUUUGCAGCUAUAUUAUUUUAUUUUGGAAAAAAAUGAUAGAAUAACAUUAAAAAGAACAUGUCUAGCGCUCUAGUUAACCAUAAUUUCUGGUCUGUUGCUGCCACCUACCAUCUACCCAAGGCAAGGCAGUUCCCGUGGGUAGGGUUACUCUUUCAGUCUUCAGGAAGCUAGUGCCACCUAAAUGUCUUUCAUUUCGGUGACACACUUCUAAAAUACUUUUAGGUGCAUGCUAAACCCCUAAAUGACAGGCUGUUUAAUUACUGUUAGUACCCUUCACUCAACAGAUGACUUAAGUAUUAAAGUAUCUUGACCAUGAAUUACAAUUAGAUAUGGAUGUUAUAAGAAAAGCAAAAUUUGGCCGGGCAUGGUGGCUCACGCUUGUAAUCCCAACACUUUGGGAGGCCGAGGGGGGGCGGAUCACGAGGUCAGGACUUCAAGACCAGCCUGGCCAACACAGUGAAACCCCGUCUCUACUAAAACAUACAAAAAUUAGCCGGGCUUGGUGGCAGGCACCUAUAAUCCCAGCUACUCAGGAGGCAGAUGCAGGAGAAUCGCUUGAACCCAGGAGGCAGAGGUUGCAGUGAGCCGAGAUCAUGCCAUUGUAGCCUCCAGCCUGGGCAACAAGAGCAAGACUCCAUCUCAAAAAUUUGUCUGGUAAAUGUUAGUUGAACUCUUAUUAUAUGAGACAUUAUGUUGACAGCAUAUGCAUCUACUAUAUCCUUUAAAAUUAGCUUUUCAUAAAGACUGUGUGUCUCAGAGAUCUCUUGUUAAGUAAAUAAGAUGGUUUUUACGUGGACAUAGGAAGCUUUUUGCAGUAUAAAAAUAUUUCACCUAGAAUUAUUUACUUUUCAUCCUUACUCAUAAAAUCUGAUAUUUGUCUGGGAACGGUGGUUCACACCUGUAAUCUCUGUGCUUUGGGAGACCAAGGCGGGAGGAUCACUUGAGGCCAGCCUGGGCAACCCAUCUCUACAAAUAAAAUAAUAAUAAUAAUUUUAAAAAUUAAAAAAAUUAAAUCUUACCUUUAAAAGGUUGAUAAUAGUGAUGAAUGCAGUACAGUGUCAAUAAUUCAGCACUGAAAAACAUUUUGCUGAUUGACUAUAUGUGAUUUCCUUUUGAGUCCAUGAAUAGUACAUUAACUUACAUUUGCAGUGGCAUUUUAUGAUUAUUAUGACACUUUUAUAUACCAACUUCCAUUUUAUAUUUACAGGUACAGAACUAAGUAGGACAGGUACUAUACUUUAAAGACAAAGAAAUAGUCUUAGAACAUUUAAAGGAUUGAACCCCAUCUAGAAUCCGGCCUUUUGCGGAAAAAUUCAGUGUUCUUUCCACUCUGCCACACUGCCUUCAACAGUCUUUCAUUCACUCAUUCAACAGAUGUUUACUGAAUACCCAGUAUGUGCCAUGUGUAGGUGCUGGGGAGAAGGUGAUGUUUUAUUUAUUAAUAGGGUCCAGGCGCAAUGGCUCAUGCCUGUAAUCUCAGCAAUUUGGGGGCCUGAGGCAGGAGGAUCGCUUGAGCCCAGGAGUUAGAGACCAGCCCGGGCAACAUGGCAAAACCCUUCUCCACAAAAAAUACAAAAAUUAGCCAGACAUGGUGGUUUGGCUGUAGUUCCAGCUACUCGGGAGGCUGCACCUGUAGUCCCAGCUACUUGGGAGGCUGAGGUGGGAGAAUCACUUGAGCUAGGGAGGUAAGCCAUGAUCAUGCCACUGUACUCUAGCCUGGGCAAUAAAACGAGACCCUGCCUCAAAAAUAAAUAAAUAAAUAAAUUUAAAAAAUUUAGAGAUGGGGGUAGAUUAGGGCUUAGAGAGGUUGUCUGGGAAGGUCUCUGGGGAAGUGAUCGCUGAAGAAUGGAUAAGAAGAAACCAAGAAGAAAGGUGGGAGAACUUAAUCCACGCAGAGGGAAUAGCAUGUAGAAAGCUCGAGUUUCCCAAGUAGGAGAAACUGAAAGAAGCCCAGUGUGGCUGCUGCAUUAUAAAAUAUGAGAUGGUGGCAUUAAAUACAGCUUUCAGUCAAGGCAAGGAGAAAGGUCAUGCCAGGCUGUGGAAGCCACGGUGGAGUCUGGUUCCUGUUCCAAGUACAGUGGGAAGCCGGGGAAGAGUGCUCAGGCUCUAUGUUGCAUGCUGCAAAUCAGAAGUUUUCCUGGGGGGAAAUUUCCUGAAUUGUUUUCAACAAAAUAGUAUUCAAAAAACAUCUGAAUAUUUCCCCAAAAAUAUCUUCCAGAGACCACUAGAUAGUUUGCUAACAAUUGUGUAGGCUUCGAAGGGAAUACCUGAAUUAUACCCCAUGCCUCAGCUUGUAACACAGUGUUACACUGUGGACACAGUUAUCCUCUAAGACCUGACUAGACCCCACUUUUUGUGCAAUCCCCUAUCAGCCUUUUUUGUCUAGUUGCACAUUAUGUUCACUUGGGGAACUUGGGGAGUGUUCUUCCCAUCUCCAGAAAUUUUAAUGUAAUUAAUAUGGUGCUGGGCCAGCCAUCAGCAGUUGUUAAAAAGCUUCUCAGGUAGUUCUACUGUUUAGCCAGGGUUGAGGAUUGCUGAUCUGAGGGAUUGUGAUAAAUGACUUUUAUGUAAUACUUUCUCAUUGUCAAAGUGAUUUUUGUCAAGUGUAGAAUACUCAGACUAACAUAAGACUAAAACAGUAGCCUGUAAGGUGACUGUUUAUUUGGUGUAUCACUCAGGCUCCAGAGUUCUGUAUCUAGCAGUUUGGUAAAAUCUAACUACAUCAAAAAUGUCUACUUAACAAAACCUGGAAAAGUUCUUUACAAAGGUGACAAAAGGACUUGAGCUACAUGACUAAGCUUGCCCUUUUAUGGUUAUCCAUUUUACUACACACCAAUUUUAAAAUAAAUAUAUAAUACACUAUAAUACCAAAGGUACAUAGUGGGAGGCUCUGAUAAUUUCCACUUCUUCCUCAUGAAGGAAUUUAUGAACACUUAGUCAUUAUAAUCAAAGAAUACUUUCUUUUCUCAUCCUAUCUUGAUUCUGUUCUCCAAGACUACUGAUCAUCAUCCAUGCAUCAAUGUACUCUUGUCCCACACCAGGCAGCAUCAGUAUAUAUCUCCCAUCAGAAUCCUAAUUCUACAUGCCAGAUGUUCUUAAUCUGUACAUUUGGAACAGCUCGAAGUUCAUUUUAAGUACCAAGUCUCUACCGCCAAUAGAGGCAGUACCCACAGUUACACUCAGGAAAAUACUGGCUGCCUGCUUUCUUGUUCAACCUGGGGCUGGCUUUGGUCUGUUUAGCUUAGCCUUGCAGCACUCUCUCUAACCUGCAGGAUCUGACUGGCAUCUGUAUUCAGUGUAGCUGCAGGCAUUUCCUCUGCCUGCUGCAUGACCUGGCCGGCUAGGGCAAAGGGUGGGGAAGGGGAGGGGCUUAUUCUGCUCUAUUUGGCUACAGAGCAACAUCAAGCUGCAUAUGAAUCACUCAUAGUACUCCCUGUGGGAUACCAUUAAAGAUCCUCUGAUAUUUAAUGCUCAGAACACUAUUCUCUAAUAUUUCCUAUUCACUUUCUUGAGCUCUAUAUUUUCAAAUAAAUAAAUCAUAUUUCAUAGUCAUAAACAUGUUAGAAGAAUAGGAAGAAAAUCAAUGGCCCAUUUUACAGAUGAGAAAACUGGGCCACAGAAGUUAAAUCAGAGUAAUAACUAAGCCAUACAACUAUUUAGUGUUUAGAAUGAGGAUGAGUAAAAGCAUAAUACCCAUUGCAUGGAUCUAUGUGUAAUUUAAAACAGUAAUCUUGAAUAAAAAUGUAAAUAACAAAGUUAGGAAGCAAAUGACAAACUGGAAAAAAAACAUUUCCAGCAUGCAAAACUGAAAGGAAUUAAGACCAAGGUUAAGAUGUUAGGAACACCUUAAAAGCACUGUCCUAACAGCAAAAUGGACAGAUAACUCAUAAAAACCCAAAUGCAAAUGAUCAACAGAUAUCUGAAAUAAUGUUU